UAAUAUUUUUCCUAUAUAUACCUCGGCAUCGAUGAGACUACAUCUCAUAACAAACCACAAAAUGAGAAGAAGCAGUGCAUUAGUUAGCCUUUUAGCUCUGGCUUUGUUCCUCCUCCUCAAUGUCUCAGCCAAUCCAUCUCAUCCCUUUCAUUUGCCGGCCAAGGAAACGAUCCUUGGCCAGCUUGAACUAGCCGUGGAGUCGGGAGCAUGCGGAGAACAAACUGGUGGUAAAGAAUGUCCACCAGGAUUUUGUUGUGCUCAAUGGGGUUUCUGUGGAACCGGACCAGAAUACUGUGGUGACCUCAAUGCUCUCUAAAUACGAGAGGUUGUACUUCUACUCCUCUUUUCGGACUGGUGAUCGUGUUUGAAUAUUAAUGUAUUGUGUGUAAUUGUAAUGCAUAUAAAAUGCAUUAUUAAUAUAAUAAAUAAAGGUCUUUUGUCUAAAACCCGGCCGAAUUUCAAAUAAUUAUGUUUAUAUUAACUAGAUUUCUAAAAUAUGUGAGACUCCUACAACAUAUGGAAGCAGAAACAAUUAAUAUAAAGAUACCCAAUUAGAAAAAUACUCCUCUAAAUAUUGUCAUCUAUAUUCAUAUAUUUUAUUUUAUAUCAUUCUGCUUUCUCACACCUAAUCGUGCCAUCUAACAUCCCCCAUUCAUCAAGAAGUCGACGCCAAUUUUGUUCCGCAGAGGAAUUCUACAUGAUUUCCAACAUUGAUGCUAAAUCCAGAGACUCCUUGUACGUUGACGAAUAUGGUAUCAAUAGUUCGAUAAAAUUGUCAUGACUGCUUUAUAUAUUUUAGGUUAUUUUGAUAUAAGAUGAUACUUAAUAGAUCUAAUGUCAUAGUAAUUUCUCUCGGCUACGAUAACAUUGUUGGUCAAUUGAAUGAUUUACGUUGUUCAAUAUAAUUGGCAAGGUUGAAGGUGCUUGGAGCAGGGGCAAUUGAUGGAGAUACGAUCGACAUAUAUAUGUAUAUAGUUUAGCGGUAAAGACCCUCCACCUCCAAUUAAUAAUCAAAAAGCUACUUUUAGAAGCUAACAAACUUUAGGAUUUGAUUGUAGUUGCUUGAAUAUUGAUUAAAAAACCCUCACCUUCAAUCCUAAAAUAAUCAAAAAACUACUUUUAGACGCCAACAAACUUUAGGAUUUGAUUGUAGUUGCUUGAAUAUUCAUAAAAAAAAAAAACCUCACCUUCAAUACUAAAAUAAUCAAAAAAGCUAUUUUUAGAAGCCAACAAACUUUAGGAUUUGAUUUCUAUUUCCAACAAUGCUAAACAAACACAACAUAUGUUCGAAUGCAUAUUAGCUCAUUAUUAAAGUGCUAUUAUUUCAGGUAUUAAGAGAAUUCAUAAUUAAAGAGUUUGAAAAAUAUAUUGUAAGGAAACAAUAUAUGGUUAGGAUUAGAAUUCAUAGCCUGUUGCUCUUGUAUGAAAGAAGAACAUUGUAUUACUGUAUCACACCAAGGUAAAAGUAAUACUUUGAGAGACUAUCGAAUCUUAAUUAUAGUAUUUAUUUAAGCAUGUUGUAUAUUCGAGUUGUUUGUAUCAAAUUAUGAUAUUUGAUGAUUGG
rnacentral:lncRNA from 1 species